CAGUGAAUGAACACUUGAUGAGCAAGAUGAGAGAAAACUGAUUAAUUCCAACUCUGAAUUUGUUCUCAAUCAAAAGAAAUCAAUGGCAGCAGAAGAGCAGUCUGACAGAAUGGCGUCUGAGAUGAAAGUGCAGACAAAGCAAGUGUGUAUUAUAAAACUCCUCCACAUGGAAAAAAAAUGGAACCUACUGACAUUCAUCAACACUUGCUGAAUGUUUCCAGAACCAAACAGUGGAUGUAAGCACAGGUAGAGCCCCAGUGACAGAAUUGAACUGAUAUUCUUGAAGCUGUUGUUGAUGAUCUUGGCUAAAAUGGAAGUGAGGUAAAGGCAAUGAAGGAAUUCUCAAUGAAGGAAAAUGGAACAUCUGCAACUGAGUACCCUCAGCUACACCUAGUCUCCUGAAGGGUUUAUUAAUUACCCAGUUGUGUUUUGUCUGGAGUUUUUAUACCAGGUGCAAAUUGCUUGCAUUGACUUUAAUGCCUUUUAAAUAUCUUCUUAUUAUUUUCCUU